rnacentral:rRNA from 1 species
ACACAUGCAAGUCGAACGGAACUGUUUUGAAAGAUUUCUUCGGAAUGAAUUUGAUUUAGUUUAGUGGCGGACGGGUGAGUAACGCGUGAGUAACCUGCCUUCAAGAGGGGGAUAACAUUCUGAAAAGAAUGCUAAUACCGCAUGACAUAUCGGAACCACAUGGUUUUGAUAUCAAAGAUUUUAUCGCUUGAAGAUGGACUCGCGUCCGAUUAGUUAGUUGGUGAGGUAACGGCUCACCAAGACCGCGAUCGGUAGCCGGACUGAGAGGUUGAACGGCCACAUUGGGACUGAGACACGGCCCAGACUCCUACGGGAGGCAGCAGUGGGGGAUAUUGCGCAAUGGGGGCAACCCUGACGCAGCAACGCCGCGUGAAGGAUGAAGGUUUUCGGAUUGUAAACUUCUUUUAUUAAGGACGAAAAAUGACGGUACUUAAUGAAUAAGCUCCGGCUAACUACGUGCCAGCAGCCGCGGUAAUACGUAGGGAGCAAGCGUUGUCCGGAUUUACUGGGUGUAAAGGGUGCGUAGGCGGCUUUGCAAGUCAGAUGUGAAAUCUAUGGGCUCAACCCAUAAACUGCAUUUGAAACUGUAGAGCUUGAGUGAAGUAGAGGCAGGCGGAAUUCCCCGUGUAGCGGUGAAAUGCGUAGAGAUGGGGAGGAACACCAAUGGCGAAGGCGGCCUGCUGGGCUUUAACUGACGCUGAGGCACGAAAGCGUGGGUAGCAAACAGGAUUAGAUACCCUGGUAGUCCACGCUGUAAACGAUGAUUACUAGGUGUGGGGGG